AGAAUGAAAAAAUUGAGGAAAAUGUGAAGCAUCUCAUUCACAAAACAGACGAUUUAGAAAAUCAUUCAAGAAGAGACAAUUUAAGAACAAUUGGACUACCAGAAGACCACGACAAAAGAAAAAGACUGGACAUAAUACUAGAGGAAAUUAUCCAGGAAAACUGUCCCGAGAUCCUAGAACAAGAGGGGAAAGUGGAGAUUGAAAGAAUCCACAGAUCACCCCCUGUAUUUAAUCCCCAACUGACAAUACCAAGAAAUGUUAUAGCCAAAUUCAAAAACAAUCAGAUGAAAGAAAAGAUAUUACAAGCUGCCAAGAAGAGGCCAUUCAGAUACCAUGGAAACACGGUGAGGUUAACACAGGAUCUGACUGCAUCCACACUGAAGGACCAAAAGGCAUGGAAUAUGAUUCCAUUCCGGAAACCAAGGGAACUAGGUCUACAACCAAGAAUAAAAUACCCAUCAAAACUGACUAUAUUCUUACAGGGGAAAGUAUAGUCAUUCAACACAACAGAAGAGUUCCAAACAUUCAUAAAUAAAAGAACAGACAUGAACAGAAAAUUUGAUGUCCAACCACAGAACUCAAGAGAAUCAUCAAAAGGGGAGUGGCCCCAGGAGGGGAAUCUGGAAGAGGAGAGGACUCCGGCUGGAGAGCAGUGAGGGUCUCUUGGUCUUAAGAUGCCGAAGAGAGAAGGUGGGGAAAAGACCUUCUCCUGAGGGUUACCCAUUUUUCCUGCUGGUGACUGGAAAUCUUUCCCCCAACACUUCCCAGUUGAAGGGACUUUCUGAAGAGAAACCUGAGCAGACUUUACCUCAGUUCCUGUUGCCCAGGGGUGAGUCAACCUGACUUUCUCUCAGGGGACUCAGGCUGCCAAGGCCUGAGUUCCCCCCAAAAUCGAGGAGGGAGGGGAAAGGGUUUAGAUAGAGCCAGGGACCCCUUUCCCCACAUUCCUUUUCCCAAACUUCCCUCUUUUAUAUAUUUUUUAAAUACAAUAGUUUCUUUCUGGAAUGGCAU
rnacentral:lncRNA from 1 species